rnacentral:rRNA from 1 species
GAUGAACGCUGGCGGCGUGCCUAAUACAUGCAAGUCGAGCGAACAGACGAGGAGCUUGCGCCGCUGACGUUAGCGGCGGACGGGUGAGUAACACGUGGAUAACCUACCUAUAAGACGGGUAUAACUUCGGGAAACCGGAGCUAAUACCGGAGAAUAUAUUGAACCGCAGGGUUCAAUAGUGAAAGACGGUUGUGCUGUCACUAAUAGAUGGAUCUCGGCCGCAUGAGCUGGUUGGUAAGGUAACGGGUUACCAAGGCAACGAUGCGUAGCCGACGUGAGAGGCUGAUCGGCCGCCCUGGAACUGAGCCACGGUCCCGACUCCUGCGGGAGGCAGCAGUAGGGAAUCUUACGCAAUGGGCGAAAGCCUGGCGGAGCAACGCCGCGUGUGUUGUGACGGUCUUCGGAUCGUAAAACUCUGUUAUUAGGGAAGAACAAAUGUGUAAGUAACUAUGCACGUCUUGACGGUACCUAAUCAGAAAGCCCCGGCUAACUACGUG